UUGCUACUCCCUCCGUUCGAAAUUACUUGUCUCGGAAAUAGAUGUAUUUAGAACUAAAAUACAUCUAGAUACAUUCAUUUCUACGACAAGUAAUUCCGAACGGAGGGAGUACUUC
rnacentral:pre_miRNA from 1 species